UGCUUGGGGCAAGCGCCAGCACAAGCCAUCACCUCGCCGAGCCCCAGGUCCAUUCAUGGGAAGACCAUUUUCAGUUAUUCUGUCUACCCCAAAGGCAGUUAAGGUGGUGGGAAUUGGAUCACAGAUGGAUCACACUUGGCUGAAAUGUUGGAUGCCUCCUGAAGAAGAUCAUAGGCCCUCUGCUCCACAGCCUGAGGUUCCAGGAGGCUGCCCUUCACAAACCUCACUUACUUUACAUUAGAAAUUCCGAAUGGACAUUCUAAUUGGCUCAGUUUAAAUCAUGAAGCUAUAUCCUGCCUGGGUGUGAGAAGACCAAGUAACUGCCCCCUUCAAGUUCACAGUGAAAGAAACUUUGUCUCCAAAUAAAAUAACAUAAAAAGUGCA
rnacentral:lncRNA from 13 species